rnacentral:rRNA from 1 species
UACGAAGGGGGCUAGCGUUGCUCGGAAUGACUGGGCGUAAAGGGCGCGUAGGCGGACAGUACAGUCAGAUGUGAAAUUCCCGGGCUCAACCUGGGGGCUGCAUUUGAUACGUGUGAUCUAGAGUGAGGAAGAGGGUCGUGGAAUUCCCCAGUGUAGAGGUGAAAUUCGUAGAUAUUGGGAAGAACACCGGUGGCGAAGGCGGCGACCUGGUCCUUGACUGACGCUGAGGCGCGAAAGCGUGGGGAGCAAACAGG